rnacentral:piRNA from 1 species
UUAGUUAUGACAUCAAAGCCUAAAUGAU